CGUUGGGUUGUGUUUUCCUUUAACCCACCAAUUAAAGUUGCUAGCAACUCAUCAUAAAAAGCGAAAAACUAAAACCUAACUAACUAAGUAAUCCAGAUGUUUUGGAAUCUGUAGGAAAUGUGCAUAUUUGUAGGUAACUGGCGGCAUGUAAACAUUGAAAAGGCCAAGUUAGCAAGAUUGAAUUAGCAAUACGAUCGCACCUGACAGACAGCGCAGUGCGCCGGUCGGCGCCAAGCCGAUGGACCGUUACGGAGAGCGCGAGAAGCCGGCGCGUGCCAUCGAUGUCAACGAUGUCGUCUUGUUCUUGUUAACAUUGUUGGCUUAACAUUUCAUUCAGUCGUGGGGUUCAUCCGCCGCCUGACCACUGCAGUCCAGAAACAUGCUAAGGAAAAUUAAAGUCGCCCCAUUGUCCGAGGGUGUGAAAGAUAAGUGUGUUAAUAUGCUCCGGCACCCCCGUCACUCUGCGUAGAACAGAAGAUGGAAAGAAUAAGACGGUCGAUGGAUCCCAGAAACAGAGAGCGAAUCGGCAGGGGGUGUGUUUCCCCACAUGAGAAGAGGACUAGGAGGAGACCAUUUUACACCCAGAAGUUUGAGCGCUCCCCCUGAAGAAACACUGACCUCAAUGGAGAGCAUUCCUCCUCAGCUCGCACUGCCGGUAGUCGUGUCGUCCCUCUUGGCUGGGGUGUUAACGUCGCCUUUCUGCCCGCCCAGGGUCCACAGGCUUGUGCCCACCCUGCAGCCUGUCACCUUUGUCGAGCGAAAACCGUUGUGCACACAGGCUAUAUUCACCUGAAACAGGAUUAAGUGAAGGGAUUAUGUUUUGCUCUGCCGUCAAACGGUGUCACCUUACCUGAGGAAGCACAGAUAAUGGAGACAGUUUAGGUGGUGGGGCUGAGGUGUCUGAUGCCAUUCUCAGUGACCGCAGCUCAGUUACAGUCCCUCCUUCAAGGCACCCCCCCCCACCACACACGCACACACGCACACACACACACACACCAGCCCCCGCCCCUUUCCCCAUGCUUCUCUCUGGGUGACAGCACCAUCCUGGGCCUUGUUCCACUGAGCUCCAAGCUCUGGAUAAUUACAUUGAAAUGAGACAUUAGCAUUUUGUGCGUUUUCUUUAUUAAUUGCGCAGUUCAGUCACCAUGAUGUCUAGUGAUCGAAUCGGGAAACCCUGUUGACCCAGCGCUGCCAGGCGUAUGAGCAGAAUUCUGUUUUUCUUCAACAGAGAUUACAUUUCUUUAUUUAUUUUAUUCUAUUUAAUUUUUUUUUUUGCUAUUUUUUAUUUUGGCAUUUUGAGGAGUCCUGCUGCUUUUAUUACAUUCCUGACGCUUUUGUUAAUACAUCAUUGCAAAGUUAAUGAAAAUUGCAUUCAGGCAUAUCCAGAAUGAUUGUGUCCUUUGUCAUGCUAAUAAAUUGAGAGAUGCUGGUCCUAUGGGUGAAAA